rnacentral:rRNA from 1 species
GAGUAACACGUGGGUAAUCUGCCCUGCACUUCGGGAUAAGCCUGGGAAACUGGGUCUAAUACCGGAUAGGACCUCGAGGCGCAUGCCUUGUGGUGGAAAGCUUUUGCGGUGUGGGAUGGGCCCGCGGCCUAUCAGCUAGUUGGUGGGGUGACGGCCUACCAAGGCGACGACGGGUAGCCGGCCUGAGAGGGUGUCCGGCCACACUGGGACUGAGAUACGGCCCAGACUCCUACGGGAGGCAGCAGUGGGGAAUAUUGCACAAUGGGCGCAAGCCUGAUGCAGCGACGCCGCGUGGGGGAUGACGGCCUUCGGGUUGUAAACCUCUUUCAGCAGGGACGAAGCGCAAGUGACGGUACCUGCAGAAGAAGCACCGGCCAACUACGUGCCAGCAGCCGCGGUAAUACGUAGGGUGCGAGCGUUGUCCGGAAUUACUGGGCGUAAAGAGCUCGUAGGUGGUUUGUCGCGUUGUUCGUGAAAUCUCACGGCUUAACUGUGAGCGUGCGGGCGAUACGGGCAGACUGGAGUACUGCAGGGGAGACUGGAAUUCCUGGUGUAGCGGUGGAAUGCGCAGAUAUCAGGAGGAACACCGGUGGCGAAGGCGGGUCUCUGGGCAGUAACUGACGCUGAGGAGCGAAAGCGUGGGGAGCGAACAGGAUUAGAUACCCUGGUAGUCCACGCCGUAAACGGUGGGUACUAGGUGUGGGUUUCCUUCCUUGGGAUCCGUGCCGUAGCUAACGCAUUAAGUACCCCGCCUGGGGAGUACGGCCGCAAGGCUAAAACUCAAAGGAAUUGACGGGGGCCCGCACAAGCGGCGGAGCAUGUGGAUUAAUUCGAUGCAACGCGAAGAACCUUACCUGGGUUUGACAUGCACAGGACGCCGGCAGAGAUGUCGGUUCCCUUGUGGCCUGUGUGCAGGUGGUGCAUGGCUGUCGUCAGCUCGUGUCGUGAGAUGUUGGGUUAAGUCCCGCAACGAGCGCAACCCUUGUCUCAUGUUGCCAGCGGGUAAUGCCGGGGACUCGUGAGAGACUGCCGGGGUCAACUCGGAGGAAGGUGGGGAUGACGUCAAGUCAUCAUGCCCCUUAUGUCCAGGGCUUCACACAUGCUACAAUGGCCGGUACAAAGGGCUGCGAUGCCGCAAGGUUAAGCGAAUCCUUUUAAAGCCGGUCUCAGUUCGGAUCGGGGUCUGCAACUCGACCCCGUGAAGUCGGAGUCGCUAGUAAUCGCAGAUCAGCAACGCUGCGGUGAAUACGUUCCCGGGCCUUGUACACACCGCCCGUCACGUCAUGAAAGUCGGUAACACCCGAAGCCAGUGGCCUAACC